GUAAAUUAUUAAGAGCUAAAGGUGGAUUUCUUGGAAAUGGUAGACUAUGAAGGACGUGCCAAUCUGCGAUAAGCUAGGGGUAGCCGAUNAGGGGCUUUAAUCCCUAGAUCUCCGAAUGUAGAAAUACAACAUUUUGAAAGAUUUGUUACUUGUCGGCCAAUUCAUAACCGACAAGGGUGAACUUCGUGAAGUGAAACAUCUCAGUNGCGAAAGGAAAAGAAAGAGAAUUCGAUUCCCUCAGUAGUGGUGAGCGAAAGGGGAACAGGCCAAACCGGUUUUACCGGGGUUGUAGGACAUUUAUAUGGAAUCAGAAGUAUAGGAGAAGUCUUUGGAAAGAGACGGCAUAGAGGGCGAUCCCCCCGUAUCCGACAUGCUUCUGAUUACUGAGUGCAUCCUGAGUAGGGCGGGACACGUGUAAUCCUGUCUGAAUCUGCCCAGACCAUUGGGUAAGCCUAAAUACUAACCAUUUACCGAUAGUGAACAAGUACUGUGAAGGAAAGAUGAAAAGAACCCAGAGAUGGGAGUGAAAUAGAUCAUGAAACCUAUAGCUUACGAAGAGUCAUAGGCCAUUUAUGGCUAAUGGCGUGCGUUUUGAAGUAUGAGCCGGCGAGUUAUUGUUGCAUGCAAGGUUAAGCAAUCAAAAGCGGAGCCGUAUCGAAAGCGAGUGUGAAUAGUGCGUUUAGUAUGUGGCAAUAGACCCGAAACGGGAUGAUCUAUCCAUGGGCAGGUUGAAGGUGGAGUAAUAUCCAUUGGAGGACCGAACCGACUACCGUUGAAAUGUUAGCGGAUGACUUGUGGAUAGGGGUGAAAUUCCAAUCGAAUUCCGUGAUAGCUGGUUCUCGUCGAAAUAGUUUUAGGACUAGCGUUGGAUUAUCCGAUGCUUUGGAGGUAAAGCACUGAAUUCAUGAUGGCGCAAUCUUUGUGUACUGAAUGAAAUUAAACUUUGAAUGCCAAAGUGUCUACUCCAGCAGUGAGACUAUGGGGGAUAAGCUCCAUGGUCAUGAGGGAAAGAGCCCAGACUAACAAAUAAGGUCCCUAAAUUUGGCUAAGUGGAGAAGGAAGUCGAAAUUCUUAAACAACUAGUAUGUUGGCUUAGAAGCAGCCACCAUUUAAAGAGUGCGUAACAGCUCACUAGUCUAGUUUUUCGGCACCGAAGGUAUAACGGGGCUAAGCCAAAUACCGAAUUUUUAGACUAUUUAUAUAGUGGUAGACGAGUGUUGUAUUAGCGCGAAGGCUGAGCGUGAGCACAGUUGGAGUUAAUACAAGUAAGGAUGCCGGCGUGAGUAACGUAUGAAAGUUAAAAUCUUUCUAGCCGAUUGAUCAAGGUUUCCAGGGCAAGGGUCAUCCUCCCUGGGUUAGUCGGUCCUAAGAUGAGGCCGAGAGGCGUAGUCGAUGGGCAGCGAGUUAAUAUUCUUGCACCAGUUUAGCUAGUGAUGGGUUGACAGAAGAGGUUAAUGCGGGCGGGUUACUGGAUUCCCGCUUAAGCUGCAAGUGUUUNGGGUAGUAAAAUACGCCCGAUUUAAGCGUGAGCAGUGAAUACGAGCGAACCCUUCGGGUAGUAGUGAAGUCGCAAACAUCAUAUUCUCAAGAAAAGACUCUAAACUUAUGGCUAAUCUGUCCGUACCUAGAACGAACACANGUGAUCAGGGAGAAUAUCCCAAGGCUAUCGAGAUAACUAUAGUUAAGGAACUCUGCAAAAUAGCCCCGUAACUUCGGGAGAAGGGUGCCUAAUUUGCNUUAGGCCACAGUAAAGAAUGAGGGGGGACUGUUUAACAAAAACAUAGCUUUAUGCGAAAUCGUAAGANNAGGUAUAUGAGGNGANACCUGCCCAGUGCCAGAAGGUCAAUGAAGGAUGUUAGCUUUUGCGAAGCAUUUAACUUAAGCCCUGGUGAACGGCGGCCGUAACUAUAACGGUCCUAAGGUAGCGAAAUUCCUUGUCAGGUAAAUUCUGUCCCGCUUGAAUGGUGUAACCAUNUCUUAACUGUNUUGACNAUAGGCUCGGUGAAAUCCUGGUGAGAGUGAAGACACUCUCUUGCCGCUAUGGGACGGAAAGACCCUAUGAAGCUU
rnacentral:rRNA from 1 species